UUUCUUCACUAUUCAUUUCCAUUAGUCCAUUUUAUAUACAUUAGUUUAUGUCCAUAUUCAAUCCAUUCAUUUCAAUUCAUACAUUUCAAUCUAUACAAUGUCAAUGCAAAUAUCAUUUGCAUUCACCAAAUGUUCAUUUCAUUACAAGAAAGUCCACGCUCAUACAAAAAUAACAAGUUUGACCAAAAAUUACAACAGUUGACUUUUGGUCAACAUUUUACUUUUUGGUCAACUAGUUGACCAAAGUCAACUGACCCCCCCUAACCCCCUAAGACCUAAUCCCA
rnacentral:lncRNA from 1 species